rnacentral:rRNA from 1 species
GACGAACGCUGGCGGCGUGCCUAAUACAUGCAAGUAGAACGCUGAAGGAGGAGCUUGCUUCUCCGGAUGAGUUGCGAACGGGUGAGUAACGCGUAGGUAACCUGCCUGGUAGCGGGGGAUAACUAUUGGAAACGAUAGCUAAUACCGCAUAACAGUAGAUAUUGCAUGAUAUCUGCUUGAAAGGUGCAAUUGCAUCACUACCAGAUGGACCUGCGUUGUAUUAGCUAGUUGGUGGGGUAACGGCUCACCAAGGCGACGAUACAUAGCCGACCUGAGAGGGGGAUCGGCCACACUGGGACUGGGACACGGCCCAGACUCCUACGGGAGGCAGCCGUAGGGAAUCUUCGGCAAUGGACGGAAGUCUGACCGAGCAACGCCGCGUGAGUGAAGAAGGUUUUCGGAUCGUAAAGCUCUGUUGUAAGAGAAGAACGAGUGUGAGAGUGGAAAGUUCACACUGUGACGGUAGCUUAACAGAAAGGGACGGCUAACUACGUG